UACGUAGGCAGCAAGCGUUGUUCGGGAUUACUGGGCGUAAAGAGUGUGUAGGCGGUGUCGUAAGUUUGGCGUGAAAUCUCCCGGCUUAACUGGGAGGGUGCGCCGAAGACUGCGGUGCUUGAGGAUCGGAGAGGAAAGUGGAAUUUCUGGUGUAGCGGUGAAAUGCGUAGAUAUCAGAAGGAACACCUGUGGUGUAGACGGCUUUCUGGACGAUUCCUGACGCUGAGACACGAAAGCGUGGGUAGCAAACAGG
rnacentral:rRNA from 1 species